GACGAACGCUGGCGGCGUGCUUAACACAUGCAAGUCGAACGGUAAGGCCCUUCGGGGUACACGAGUGGCGAACGGGUGAGUAACACGAGGGUGAUCUGCCCUGCACUUCGGGAUAAGCCUGGGAAACUGGGUCUAAUACCGGAUAGGACCACUGCCUGCAUGGGUGGUGGUGGAAAGCUUUUGCGGUGUGGGAUGGGCCCGCGGCCUAUCAGCUUGUUGGUGGGGUGAUGGCCUACCAAGGCGACGACGGGUAGCCGGCCUGAGAGGGUGACCGGCCACACUGGGACUGAGAUACGGCCCAGACUCCUACGGGAGGCAGCAGUGGGGAAUAUUGCACAAUGGGCGCAAGCCUGAUGCAGCGACGCCGCGUGAGGGAUGACGGCCUUCGGGUUGCAAACCUCUUUCAGCACCGACGAAGCGCAAGUGACGGUAGGUGCAGAAGAAGGACCGGCCAACUACGUGCCAGCAGCCGCCGUAA
rnacentral:rRNA from 1 species